rnacentral:rRNA from 1 species
AGCGGCGGACGGGUGAGUAAUGCCUGGGAAUAUGCCCUGAUGUGGGGGAUAACUAUUGGAAACGAUAGCUAAUACCGCAUAAUCUCUUCGGAGCAAAGAGGGGGACCUUCGGGCCUCUCGCGUCAGGAUUAGCCCAGGUGGGAUUAGCUUGUUGGUGAGGUAAUGGCUCACCAAGGCAACGAUCCCUAGCUGGUCUGAGAGGAUGAUCAGCCACACUGGAACUGAGACACGGUCCAGACUCCUACGGGAGGCAGCAGUGGGGAAUAUUGCACAAUGGGGGAAACCCUGAUGCAGCCAUGCCGCGUGUGUGAAGGAGGCCUUCGGGUUGUAAAGCACUUUCAGUAGGGAGGAAGGUAGUGUAGUUAACACCUGCAUUAUUUGACGUUACCUACAGAAGAAGCACCGGCUAACUCCGUGCCAGCAGCCGCGGUAAUACGGAGGGUGCGAGCGUUAAUCGGAAUUACUGGGCGUAAAGCGCAUGCAGGCGGCCUGUUAAGUCAGAUGUGAAAGCCCGGGGCUUAACCUCGGUAUUGCAUUUGAAACUGGCAGG